rnacentral:tmRNA from 1 species
GUCGCUUCACUGACUCGAUGCUAAGCGAAAAUUGGUCGCUUGACGGCCAGAAAGAGAAGCGAAUAAGCAUGUAGAGUCUUUCGGCGGCUUCUCUUGGAUCCGAGUUCAAUUCUCGGCGCCUCCACCA